GUAGUCUAACCUGCCCACUGAAGUUUAAAGGGCUGCGGUAAUAUGACCGUGCGAAGGUAGCAUAAUCAAUAGUCUUUUAAUUGAAGGCUGGAAUGAAUGGUUGGACAAGAAGUGAACUGUCUUUUUUGAAGUAAUUGAAUUUUACUUUUAAGUGAAAAGGCUUAAAUGAAUUAAGGGGACGAUAAGACCCUAUAAAACUUUACAUAUAUAAGUAUAUUUAUUUGAAAAUAAAGGUAUAAAGAAAGUAUAAUAAAAUUUGUUUUAUUGGGGCGAUAGUUAUAAAAAUAAUAAUUGUAAUUUUAAUAAAAUAUAUAUAAAUAGUAUAGUUGAUCCUUUAUUAAGGAUUACAAGAUUAAGUUACUUUAGGGAUAACAGCGUAAUUCUUUCUGAGAGUUCUUAUCGAUGAAGGUAGUUGCGACCUCGAUGUUGAAUUAAGGUUUUACUAAGGUGUAGAAGUUUUAGUGAUAGGUCUGUUCGACC
rnacentral:rRNA from 1 species